rnacentral:misc_RNA from 1 species
GACAGACCUUCUUUUGUUUUAUGGACGACCAUUUUAAGAAGCAAAUUUUUCGCGAACGGACGGACAGAGAGUUACAUUAGAGACAGACAAGGUUACAGAAUAGUUAUUUAAAAUUUUAAAGACUGAAGAAGAAAGAUCGAUAGCUCAGGACGUUGAUAAUCGAUUCUCGAUUUUCAGACUACAGAAUAGAUCCCUGAAUUAUCCCCGGAUUGCGAUCUUACAUAUAUGUACAUAUUUGUAUAUUUAUAUAUAUAUAUAAAUAUAUAUAUAUAUAUAUAUAUAGAGAGAGAGAGAGAGAGAAUAUGGCAGUUAUACAGUGACUACGAAAGGUAUUUAAAUAAUAUGAAUAUAAAUACAUGAUACAUGUAUUAAACUUGGUAUUAUUUACUGGUACUUUCAUACGAUUAUAAGGAU